rnacentral:rRNA from 1 species
UCCGUAGGCGGGCUAAUAAGUCAGGGGUGAAAUACCACAGCUCAACUGUGGAACUGCCUUUGAUACUGUUAGUCUUGAAUUAUAUGGAAGUAGAUAGAAUGUGUAGUGUAGCGGUGAAAUGCUUAGAGAUUACACAGAAUACCGAUUGCGAAGGCAGUCUACUACGUAUAUAUUGACGCUAAUGGACGAAAGCGUGGGGAGCGAACAGGAUUAGAUACCCUGGUAGUCC